rnacentral:rRNA from 1 species
GNGANGCUGGCGGCGUGCCUAAUACAUGCAAGUCGAGCGCGGGAAGCAAACUGAAUCCUUCGGGAGGACGUUUGUGGAACGAGCGGCGGACGGGUGAGUAACACGUGGGCAACCUGCCUGUAAGACUGGGAUAACUCCGGGAAACCGGGGCUAAUACCGGAUAACUCAUCGGAUCGCAUGAUCCGAGGUUGAAAGAUGGCUUCUUGCUAUCACUUACAGAUGGGCCCGCGGCGCAUUAGCUAGUUGGUGAGGUAACGGCUCACCAAGGCCACGAUGCGUAGCCGACCUGAGAGGGUGAUCGGCCACACUGGGACUGAGACACGGCCCAGACUCCUACGGGAGGCAGCAGUAGGGAAUCAUCCGCAAUGGACGAAAGUCUGACGGUGCAACGCCGCGUGAGUGAGGAAGGCCUUCGGGUCGUAAAACUCUGUUGUUAGGGAAGAACAAGUUCCGUUCGAAUAGGGCGGACCUUGACGGUACCUAACCAGAAAGCCACGGCUAACUACGUGCCAGCAGCCGCGGUAAUACGUAGGUGGCAAGCGUUGUCCGGAAUUAUUGGGCGUAAAGCGCGCGCAGCGGUUCCUUAAUCUGAUGUGAAACCCACGGCUCACCGUGGAGGGUCAUUGGAAACUGGGGAACUUGAAACAGAAGAGGAGGCGGAAUUCCNCGUGUACGGUGAAUGCGUAAAUAUGUGGAGGACNCAUGGCGAAGCGGCUCUCUGUCUGUGCUUGACCUGAAGCGCGAAACGUGGGGACGAACAGGAUAAAUACCUGGUAUCCCNCNUAANGAUA